UACGGGGGGGGCAAGCGUUGUUCGGAAUUACUGGGCGUAAAGGGUUCGUAGGUGGCUUGUUAAGUCAGACGUGAAAUCCCUCGGCUCAACCGGGGGAACUGCGUCUGAGACUGAUCGAGCUCGAGUGCAGGAGAGGAACGCGGAAUUCCAGGUGUAGCGGUGAAAUGCGUAGAUAUCUGGAGGAACACCGGUGGCGAAGGCGGCGUUCUGGACUGCAACUGACACUGAGGAACGAAAGCCAGGGGAGCAAACGGG
rnacentral:rRNA from 1 species